rnacentral:rRNA from 1 species
AGGACGAACGCUGGCGGCGUGCUUAACACAUGCAAGUCGAACGGAAAGGCCCUGCUUGCAGGGUACUCGAGUGGCGAACGGGUGAGUAACACGUGGGUGAUCUGCCCUGCACUUCGGGAUAAGCUUGGGAAACUGGGUCUAAUACCGGAUAGGACCAUACUUUAGUGUGUGUGGUGGAAAGUUUUUUCGGUGUAGGAUGAGCUCGCGGCCUAUCAGCUUGUUGGUGGGGUAAUGGCCUACCAAGGCGGCGACGGGUAGCCGGCCUGAGAGGGUGUACGGCCACAUUGGGACUGAGAUACGGCCCAGACUCCUACGGGAGGCAGCAGUGGGGAAUAUUGCACAAUGGGCGCAAGCCUGAUGCAGCGACGCCGCGUGGGGGAUGAAGGCCUUCGGGUUGUAACUCCUUUCGCUAGGGACGAAGCUUUUGUGACGGUACCUAGAUAAGAAGCACCGGCUAACUACGCGCCAGCAGCCGC